GAGGACCGUAUUCAUGGAAGAGGAUUGAACAGAAGACUACUGAGUUCUUAAGAGAAAAAUGGCACUUAAGAAAUUGAUGGUGAUAUCAAAGGAAGGUUACUUAUUACUCUUGGACUUUGAUGAUGAGGACGAUGACAUAAAAGUUUCAGAGGAGGCUCUUGCGGAAGUAAAGAGCCCAGGAUUUGAUAAAAAUGAGAAUAUAUCGCCUCAAGCAGAAGCAGAUGAAUAUAUGGGAGAUGAAGUAGACAGUAUGUUGGAUAAAUCUGGAGUAAAGAACCCAGCAAUUGGUAAAGAUGAGAAUAUAUCGCCUCAAGUAAAAGGAGAUGAAGACAUGGGAGAUGAAAUUGACAGUAUGUUGGCUACAUCUGGGGGUCUUUUCUCCUGAGAACACGGGACUCCAGCAUCUUCGGAUUCUGCUCUUGGAGGGGUUUGCCCCACAUCCUCUAUAUUGCAGAAAACAAGACUAGGCUCUACCUCUGUAGAUCAAGCACGACUGAAAUCCGUGCUCUCAAAAGAUGCUGGGGAGAAAGAGUGCCAUUCUUCACAAAUGCUGGAUCCUGCAGAUGUUCACCAUCUCAUGAGUAGGGCCUCAGAAGUCCCCCACCAUGCCAAAGGAUUCACAGACCUACCAAAUCUUUGAAAACCCCAUCAGAAAAGGCCCCUUCUGCCCAAGAUGUGUGCAGCUGAACAGAGCGUUGAGGAAACGUCAGUGAUUUUAUAACUACUUAUCAUGUUGGGAGAUUGUUGUGAUGAUUGCCUGGACUCUCAGAUGUUACACAGGCUGCAUCAUUGGACUGAAAGUGAAUGGCCCAUGUGUUGCCACUGAUGUGAGCCAUUUGCCUGUUGUGCUUCA
rnacentral:precursor_RNA from 1 species